rnacentral:rRNA from 1 species
CCUACGGGAGGCAGCAGUGGGGAAUUUUGCGCAAUGGGCGAAAGCCUGACGCAGCAACGCCGCGUGAGUGAUGAAGGCUUUCGGGUCGUAAAGCUCUGUCGAGGGGAAAGAAGUGUACUUUGGCUAAUAUCCAUUGUGCUUGACGGUACCCCUAAAGGAAGCACCGGCUAACUCCGUGCCAGCAGCCGCGGUAAUACGGGGGGUGCAAGCGUUGUUCGGAAUUAUUGGGCGUAAAGCGCGUGUAGGCGGUUUGAUUAGUCUGAUGUGAAAGCCCUGGGCUCAACCCAGGAAGUGCAUUGGAAACUGUCAGACUUGAAUACGGGAGAGGGUAGUGGAAUUCCUAGUGUAGGAGUGAAAUCCGUAGAUAUUAGGAGGAACACCGGUGGCGAAGGCGGCUACCUGGACCGAUAUUGACGCUGAGACGCGAAAGCGUGGGUAGCAAACAGGAUUAGAUACCCCAGUA